GCCAGGCAUGGUGGCGCAUGCCUGUGGUCCUAUCUACUCAGGAGGCUGAGGUGGGAGGAUGGCUUGAGCCUGGGACGCAGAGGUUGAAGUGAGCUGAGAUCGUGCCACUCUACUCUAGCCUGGGCAACAGAGCCAGAUCCUGUCUCAA
ensembl:misc_RNA Metazoa_SRP Metazoan signal recognition particle RNA